GACGAACGCUGGCGGCGUGCCUAAUACAUGCAAGUCGAGCGAAUUUACGAGAGCUUGCUCUCGUAAAUUAGCGGCGGACGGGUGAGUAACACGUGGGCAACCUGCCUAUAAGACUGGGAUAACUUCGGGAAACCGGAGCUAAUACCGGAUAAUUCACAUCUACUCAUGUAGAUGUGCUGAAAGACGGUUUCGGCUGUCACUUAUAGAUGGGCCUGCGGCGCAUUAGCUAGUUGGUGAGGUAACGGCUCACCAAGGCCACGAUGCGUAGCCGACCUGGGAGGGUGAUCGGCCACACUGGGACUGAGACACGGCCCAGACUCCUACGGGAGGCAGCAGUAGGGAAUCUUCCGCAAUGGACGAAAGUCUGACGGAGCAACGCCGCGUGAGUGAUGAAGGUUUUCGGAUCGUAAAACUCUGUUGUUAGGGAAGAACAAGUACCAGAGUAACUGCUGGUACCUUGACGGUACCUAACCAGAAAGCCACGGCUAACUACGUGCCAGCAGCCGCCGUAA
rnacentral:rRNA from 1 species